UUUGCUUGAUAGGUCUCCUGCUGGUCGAAUUGGCUUGAUUGCUUCACAGCUCGCUGGACGCUCCCUAUUUUCAGGUACACCUGUUUUUUUCGGUCCUCCGGCUUAUGUUUCUCCUGAAUUUGCUAGGUCGCGCUAUGGACCGUAGAUUGCUUGAUGUCCAGCUUCAUAUCACGUCAAUCGGUAAUGGCUCCAUUGAUUCAGAGUUCACUUGAUACUCCCAAUGGAUAAGAGUUUCAGUGCGUGCAGACAUUGUGGUGCUAUAGGUAGUUGUGUGCUAAUCUGGGAGCAGGGUAUCAUGUGCCCGCUCACCUGUUGGUGCGGCUGGUGGAUACAGAGAGAUCAACGAUGAGGAGACCCUCGUCGUUCUUUUGAUUGCAGCCAGUUGCGUGAUGUGAUGGCGGAGUUGUUCUACAACCGCCCAGGGGCCAUGGACGAUGGAGAACUUCCUAACGCAGUAUGCGAGCGGGGACAAUGGAGAACUUCCUGGCGCAGUGUGCGUGCGCGUGGGUUUCAGGACAGUUCAUUGUACAAGGUCAAGCUCAGCUUGGUGUAAGUUCCAAAUAUAUAUUGUGCCUUAGUUUGAGUUGCAUCCACAAGCAGCGCUCACUAAUUCAAAUACACCUUAAAUUGAGUUGGAUCAUUAGUGUUGGACCAUGGACAUAUAUCUAUAUCCGAUUGUACUCCGGGUGUUUUCAGUUCUGAAAUAUUUUUUGGCAAUUUGAUUCUGAAAUUUUAGCUUGA